UACGUAGGGUGCGAGCGUUGUCCGGAAUUAUUGGGCGUAAAGAGCUCGUAGGCGGUGUGUCGCGUCGGCCGUGAAAACCUGGGGCUCAACUCUGGGCGUGCGGUCGAUACGGGCAUCACUUGAGUUCGGCAGGGGAGACUGGAAUUCCUGGUGUAGCGGUGGAAUGCGCAGAUAUCAGGAGGAACACCGGUGGCGAAGGCAGGAUCUCU
rnacentral:rRNA from 1 species